rfam:Jaera nordmanni 18S small subunit ribosomal RNA gene, partial sequence.
UACCUGGUUGAUCCUGCCAGUUAUCAUAUGCUUGUUUCAAAGAUUAAGCCAUGCAUGUACAAGUACAAACUUGAAUAAAGUUGAAACCGCAGACGGCUCAUUAAAUCAGUCAUAAAUAAUGAAAUAUCGAAAAAACAGUUACUUGGAUAACUGUGGAAAAUCCAGAGCUAAUACAUGCACUUAAGCUCGGACAAUCGUUGUAACAAACGAUACAGAAGAGCGCAAUUAUUAGGUUUCAAUAAAAGUUAUUUUAUUGGAUGACUCCGGAUAAUCCUAGUCGAGCGCAUAUGAUCUUAGUAUCAGCGCCAUAUUUCAUAAGAGACUGCCUUAUCAGCUUUCGAUUGUAAUUUAAAUGAUUACAAUGGCAAUAACGGGUAACGGGGAAUCAGGGUUCGAUUCCGGAGAGGGAGCCUGAAAAACGGCUACCACAUCUAAGGAAGGCAGCAGGCACGUAAAUUACCCACUCUCAGUUCGAGGAGGUAGUGACGAAAAAUACCGGUGACUUACUCUAAUAAGGGUUUUGUCACCUAAUUAUAAAAGGAAUGAGUUUAUUCUAAAAAUAUAUUCAAUUACCUAUUGGAGGGCAAGUCUGGUGCCAGCAGCCGCGGUAAUACCAGCUCCAAUAGCGUAUAUAAAAAGUUGUUGCAGUUAAAAAAGCUCCUAAUUGGAAUUUAUAAAAAGCUGAUACAUAAUCAAAUUAGACGAUGUAUCAUAUGUGAACUAUAUUAAUGCGAUUGAGUAAUUAGUAUGUCUUAGUGCAAACUUUGAUUGAAAGUUAUUCUUAUUCGUAUGAUAUAAAGUAAUGUAUGGGUGAAGUCUUAAAAGAUUUAAUCGGUGUACAUAAUUUAAACGGAUAUCAACUCCAGAAGUUGAUAGUUUCGUUCAUUUUUCACUUUGAAAAAAUUAGAGUGUUCAAAGCCGAGCUAAAAUUGCUCGAAUGUUAUAUCAUUGUAUGAAAUAACAUGAUCUCGUUUAGACUUUUUUGUCUUCUUUUAUUGAUCUAAAAUGAGAUAAUGAUUAAAAGGAACAGCCGGUGGCAUUGGUAUUACGGCGCUAGAGGUGAAAUUCUUAGACCGUCGUAAGACUACCUACUGCGAAAGCAUUUGCCAAGAAUGUUUUCAUUAAUCAAGAACGAAAGUUAGAGGAUCGAAGGCGAUCAGAUACCGCCCUAGUUCUAACCAUAAACUAUGCCAACUAGCGAUCCGUCGGUGUCAUAUCCACGACUCGACGGGAAGCCCCUGGGAAACCUAAGUUUUUGGGUUCUGGGGGAAGUAUGGUUGCAAGGCUGAAACUUAAAGGAAUUGACGGAAGGGAACCACCAGGAGUGGAGCCUGCGGCUUAAUUUGACUCAACACGGGAAAACUUACCAGGUCAGGACAUUUAAAGGACUGACAGAUUGAUAGCUCUUUCUCAAUAAAUUGGGUGGUGGUGCAUGGCCGUUCUUAGUUGGUGGAGUGGUCUGUCUGGUUGAUUCCGAUAACGAACGAGAUUCUAUCCUACUAAUUAGUAGGCGGAUCGUUUAAAACUUUAUUAUACUCUGUAGACUGAUAUUCUGAAAGUCAGUGUGACGUGUGUGCGUUAAUUUAUUGCUUAGCUUCGGCUAUGGUGAUUUUUUGAUGUAUGUCGUUCAUUGAUGGAUCGUUAUAAACAUGUUGAGAGAGAUAUAUUUAAAGAAAAUACGUCCGUCUUAUAGUCUUCUUAGAGGUAUAAAUGGCGAACCCUAGCCAAACGAGAAAGAGCAAUAACAGGUCUGUGAUGCGCUUAGAUGUCCUGGGCAGCACGCGCGCUACAAUGUAGUGAACAACGUGCAAUUAUUUUCCUAAAAUAAGCCAUUUCCGAAAGGAUAUGGGAACCAUAGUAACACCCUACAUGGUUGGGAUUGGUUAUUGUAAUUUUUAGCCAUGAACCAGGAAUUCCUAGUAAACGUGGAUCAUUUAGUUCGCGUUGAUUAAGUCCCUGCCCUUUGUACACACCGCCCGUCGCUACUACCGAUUGAAUGGUUAAGUAAGGUCAUUGGACUAUCACUUUAAUGAUUUCGUAUUAUAAAAGUUGAUAGGAAGAUGUCCGAAUUGGAUCAUUUAGAGGAAGUAAAAGUCGUAACAAGGUUUUCGUAGGUGAACCUGCGGAAGGAUCAUUA